GCUAAUCCGAAUAUUUUAUGUACGCGCAGACACGUCUGGUCCAUUUUCUUCUUCCUUAUAACAUCAGCUCUUCAAUCAUCGUCGGUAUUAGCUUAACACUUUCUGAAGAAAUGGACGGCGUUCUGCGAUUUCCAAGUGCUUGCUUGACGUUUCACUUCAGGGCGCGAUAUUUGCUGCGUCCCUUCGUGUGAGGAAGGAUGCGUCUGCCCUGUUCCUUGAAUCGUACGGAUCGCCGCACCUGGUCCUAAGCAUCGGCGGCGCCCACCGGCAUGAGGGAACGUAAUGGCUUGUUCCUGAAGAAACAUAGAAUUGUUAAGGAAGAUCUAUCGAGUUGAACUCGUCCCGUCUGGAUGCAAAGGUGCGUGGCCCCUUUUAUAAAUAAAGCACAAACCUUAAAUACACCGCGGAACGAUAUAAUAUAAAAAAGGUGGCUACUACGGAUAAGUCGGAUGAUUUGUGCAGAAAAUCAUCCGCCUAACCAGCCGUACGAUCUGGACGCUGGUGAACGUCCGAUCUGGCGCAGCACGGGGAGCCGAUGCGUGCUAUCCAUGGCAACAUCGAGUGCAGCCCCCCGACGACACCCCCUCCUCCCUGGUGAAGCUCCAUUGCAAUCCCCAGGGGCGAGACGAAGCUGCAGCGCAGCACCGACAACGCCGGCGAAGCUCCAUUGCAGCACCAACAGCGCUCCAAUGCAUCACCGGCGGAGCUCCAUUGCAGCCUAACGACCCGGCGAUGCGCCGGCGAAACUCCAUUGAAGCACCACUGAUGCUUCAUUGCAGCCUCGGGCGACGCUUCAUUGCAGCCCCGACGGCACAGCAAAACUCCAACACAGCACCGACGGCACGCCGAUGAAGCUCCAUUGCUGCCGGAGUUGAGGGAGGUGCCCCGUCACAACAAUGGUGCUGCUGCAAAAACGCAUGGAUUGCAGCGCGAGAGUGUCAGUGGCGAGCAUGAGGCUUCCAUCGGUGCUGGCCGGAGUCGCCCUCACCCUCAACCUUGCUGCAACCGCGCCGUUCCGGUGCCGGUGUCGCCCCUCUCCCAGCCAUGGCGAGGAGCCGAGGAUGCAACAGCAGCGGCCAUGGCAAGGACGCAAACAACAGCGGCUGCUUCGCCCUUAUGAUUGCAGCAGCAACAAUGUUCGGGGUAGAGUAGCAUCAAGCUGCUGUCGGCGGCGCCCCUCCCGGUUCUCAGCUGUGGCCGUGGUGCUCGCCAUGGGAUGGGAGCCUCAUCCUCUCCUCUAGUACUACUGGGGAAGGAGGAGGAAAAGG
rnacentral:rRNA from 1 species